rnacentral:rRNA from 1 species
CCUACGGGAGGCAGCAGUGGGGAAUCUUGCGCAAUGCACGAAAGUGUGACGCAGCAACGCCGCGUGGAGGAAGAAGGCUCUCGGGUCGUAAACUCCUUUCAGUUGGGACGAAGCUUCGUCGGUUAAUAGCCGGCUGGAGUGACGGUACCUUCACAAGAAGCACCGGCUAACUACGUGCCAGCAGCCGCGGUAAUACGUAGGGUGCAAGCGUUGUCCGGAAUCAUUGGGCGUAAAGAGCGUGUAGGCGGCCCGAUUAGUCCGCUGUGAAAGUCCAGGGCUCAACCCUGGAAUGCCGGUGGAUACUGUCGGGCUCGAGUCCGGAAGAGGCGAGUGGAAUUCCUGGUGUAGCGGUGAAAUGCGCAGAUAUCAGGAAGAACACCAACGGCGAAGGCAGCUCGCUGGGACGGUACUGACGCUGAGACGCGAAAGCGUGGGGAGCAAACAGGAUUAGAUACCCUGGUAGUCCACGCCGUAAACGAUAGGGUACUAGGUGUGGGGGGUGGUCGACUCCCCCGUCGCCGAAGCUAACGCAUUAAGUACCCCGCCUGGGAGUACGGCCGCAAGGCUAAAACGUCAAAGAGUAGUGACGCGUGAGAGCGACGAGACGACGACGAGGAGAGG